UGGCACCCGAGUGCUCCUGAAACUCCAGCCACAAGAGGCUCCUUGCAGCUGCCGGAAUUCCUGUCCACCUUGUGACCUUCAGUUAGAUUGUUUUUCUGCCUAGAACGCUCUUCUUUCUUCUCCUCCUACCUCCACAUCCCCUGGCUAGCAUAGAUUCCAUCCCCUCCUGGUCUGGGUCCAGCCCCUCCAUGGCUCUGUGUUUGAUAGCACUUAUCACAGGAUAGCAUGGCAGGCCAUCGCCCACUGUCCAGUCUCAAAGCCGAGCCACACAGAAGCACAGUCCAGGCACCAAAAGGUGACGUGAGGGCUCUACUUAAUCUCCCACAUGCUGCAAAGAGAGAGAUGAAGAUGAUCCAUGCUUGGGGAACUCGCAGUUCUCAUUUUCUCAGCAAUCGGGUGCAAUGAGCCUGCAGAAGAAGCUUUUCCAGAGCUGUUGUAAGACUUCUGCAGGCCCUGGGCGCAGUCAUUUUCAGAGGUUUCAGGCCACGGCACGGCGAUGCCAUGAAAACGCGGAUGCAUCCCAUGCUAGCAAAAAUCAAGACAUCCUCUGAAGACUGUCCAUGAAGAUUUUGUUGGAGUGAGAAAAAAUAAGCAAUAAAAAUGUAGUCUUCUUGUUUGGCUAUAGUCUGGCCUGGAAUGGAUAUUUUGGAAGUGACUCCUCACGUGCAGGAAGGACUCUUAGGCCGUAUGUGUGGGCCUCUCCGAAGUUCAAAGCUGAUUUAUAGAGCAUCAGCGCUGACUCCUUGACAGAGAGUCUGCGGGUCAGAGGAACUUGAAGUCAGAAUGUGAGACUGAAGUCUCAGGAACACACAGAAUUCAUAUCAAGUUCCUUUUACACAUAACUUGUUAAGAAGAGCAUGUUUGCCUAAAGUGGGGUGCUCCUCACAGAUUCUGGGAGUACAGAAGAGCUCAGGAAAUGCUGGGGACAGAGUGGAGGCUGCGCUGGGAGGACCCUGGUGUGGUUUCAAUAUCAGCUUGGUGCCAGGUUCUCUGUAGCACCUUCUUUCUCUGUGAAAGUGGCCAACUGUUGCUGAAUCCUGGAAUGUUGGAUGGGCGAACGGGAGCCUGACCAAGCCCAGGCUGGAAUUCACAGCCUGAUUCUGGGAACUGAUGGGUUAUUGAUUCCCUGUGGCAUUGACUUACAUGAGCUGAUACCCCUUGGCCAUUGGUUGGGGGCUCAAAGAGUUUAGGGCGAGGGUACCUAAGAGGACAGAGAAGAUGGAGGAGUACAGCAUGCAGUUCAUCCCUUCCCUGUCCACCGCUGUGGUGUGAUUUCAGCCACUGAGGUUGAUUGAGGUGGACUGUGAGCUCCUCCCUCCAGCUAGGCAGACAUGGGGCCUACAGGAGGCAGACAGGUGUCAGGCUUAGGAGAGGGCUCUGUGGUUCCUUCUGCUGCAAACCCUGGCGCAGCUUCAGGGCCAACUUACCCGCUUGGCACAGUGAGCACAGGGCCUAGGGCCCAUGAAACUUUUAGGGUCCUAUGAAAAUGUUUUAAUUUCUUUUUUUUUUUGAGACGGAGUCUCGCUCUGUCG
rnacentral:lncRNA from 10 species